rnacentral:rRNA from 1 species
AGUGAACGCUGGCGGUAGGCCUAACACAUGCAAGUCGAACGGCAGCACAGAGGAGCUUGCUCCUUGGGUGGCGAGUGGCGGACGGGUGAGGAAUACAUCGGAAUCUACUCUGUCGUGGGGGAUAACGUAGGGAAACUUACGCUAAUACCGCAUACGACCUACGGGUGAAAGCAGGGGACCUUCGGGCCUUACGCGAUUGAAUGAGCCGAUGUCGGAUUAGCUAGUUGGCGGGGUAAAGGCCCACCAAGGCGACGAUCCGUAGCUGGUCUGAGAGGAGGAUCAGCCACACUGGAACUGAGACACGGUCCAGACUCCUACGGGAGGCAGCAGUGGGGAAUAUUGGACAAUGGGCGCAAGCCUGAUCCAGCCAUACCGCGUGGGUGAAGAAGGCCUUCGGGUUGUAAAGCCCUUUUGUUGGGAAAGAAAUCCAGCUGGCUAAUACCCGGUUGGGAUGACGGUACCCAAAGAAUAAGCACCGGCUAACUUCGUGCCAGCAGCCGCCGCCG